GACGAACGCUGGCGGCAGGCCUAACACAUGCAAGUCGAACGAAGUCUUCGGACUUAGUGGCGGACGGGUGAGUAACACGUGGGAACGUGCCUUUAGGUUCGGAAUAACUCAGGGAAACUUGUGCUAAUACCGAAUGUGCCCUUCGGGGGAAAGAUUUAUCGCCUUUAGAGCGGCCCGCGUCUGAUUAGCUAGUUGGUGAGGUAAAGGCUCACCAAGGCGACGAUCAGUAGCUGGUCUGAGAGGAUGAUCAGCCACAUUGGGACUGAGACACGGCCCAAACUCCUACGGGAGGCAGCAGUGGGGAAUCUUGCGCAAUGGGCGAAAGCCUGACGCAGCCAUGCCGCGUGAAUGAUGAAGGUCUUAGGAUUGUAAAAUUCUUUCACCGGGGACGAUAAUGACGGUACCCGGAGAAGAAGCCCCGGCUAACUUCGUGCCAGCCGCCGCGGUAA
rnacentral:rRNA from 1 species